rnacentral:rRNA from 1 species
CACGUAGGUGGUGAAGUAAGUUAACUGUGAAAUCCCUCGGCUUAACUGGGGAAUUGCAGUUGAUACUGCUUUACUAGAGUACAGGAGGGGAGAGUGGAAUUCUAGGUGUAGCGGUGGAAUGCGAAGAUAUCUAGGAGAAGGCCGGUGGCGAAAGCGACUCUCUAGCCUGUUACUGACACUGAGGUGCGAAAGCGUAGGUAGCGAACG